rnacentral:rRNA from 1 species
UACAUAGGUGGCAAGCGUUGUCCGGAGUUAUUGGGCGUAAAGCGCGCGCAGGCGGUGCGGUAAGUCUCUGGUGAAAGCGCUCGGCUUAACUGGGCGAGGGCCGGGGAGACUGCCACGCUGGAGGGGAGCAGAGGCGAGUGGAAUUCCGGGUGUAGUGGUGAAAUGCGUAGAGAUCCGGAGGAACACCAGUGGCGAAGGCGGCUCGCUGGGCUCUACCUGACGCUGAGGCGCGAAAGCGUGGGGAGCGAACCGG